rnacentral:rRNA from 1 species
AGAGUUGUAUCCUGGCUCAGGAUGAACGCUAGCGGCAGGCCUAACACAUGCAAGUCGAGCGGUAGAAACCUUCGGGUUUUGAGAGCGGCGCACGGGUGCGUAACGCGUAUGCAACCUACCCUUCACAGGGGAAUAGCCCGUCGAAAGGCGGAUUAAUGUCCCAUAGUCCUCAGGAUAGGCAUCUAUUCUGGGGUAAAGAUUCAUCGGUGAAGGAUGGGCAUGCGUGCCAUUAGCUAGAUGGUGAGGUAACGGCUCACCAUGGCUACGAUGGCUAGGGGUUCUGAGAGGAAGGCCCCCCACACUGGGACUGAGACACGGCCCAGACUCCUACGGGAGGCAGCAGUGAGGAAUAUUGGACAAUGGGGGCAACCCUGAUCCAGCGACGCCGCGUGUGUGAAGAAGGCCUGCGGGUUGUAAAGCACUUUUAGUGGGGAUGAAAAGUUCAGGGCUAACACCCUUGGAUCUUGACCUAACCCAAAGAAAAAGCACCGGCUAACUCUGUGCCAGCAGCCGCGGUAAUACAGAGGGUGCAAGCGUUAAUCGGAAUUACUGGGCGUAAAAGCGUGCGCAGUCGGUUAUUUAAGUCGGAUGUGAAAUCCCCGGGCUCAACCUG